rnacentral:rRNA from 1 species
GUACACUCCUGCGGGAGGCAGCAGUGGGGAAUAUUGGACAAUGGGCGCAAGCCUGAUCCAGCCAUGCCGCGUGAGUGAUGAAGGCCCUAGGGUUGUAAAGCUCUUUUGUGCGGGAAGAUAAUGACGGUACCGCAAGAAUAAGCCCCGGCUAACUUCGUGCCAGCAGCCGCGGUAAUACGAAGGGGGCUAGCGUUGCUCGGAAUCACUGGGCGUAAAGGGUGCGUAGGCGGGUCUUUAAGUCAGGGGUGAAAUCCUGGAGCUCAACUCCAGAACUGCCUUUGAUACUGAAGAUCUUGAGUUCGGGAGAGGUGAGUGGAACUGCGAGUGUAGAGGUGAAAUUCGUAGAUAUUCGCAAGAACACCAGUGGCGAAGGCGGCUCACUGGCCCGAUACUGAAGCUGAGGCACGAAAGCGUGGGGAGCAAACAGGAUUAGAAACCCCUGUAGUCCC